UACAGAGGUCCCAAGCGUUGUUCGGAUUCAUUGGGCGUAAAGGGCGCGUAGGCGGCGGGGUCAGUCGGGUGUGAAAUCUUGGGGCUUAACCCCGAAACGGCACUCGAAACUGCCCGGCUGGAGGGCCGGAGAGGAGAUCGGAAUUCACGGUGUAGCAGUGGAAUGCGUAGAGAUCGUGAGGAAGACCCGUGGCGAAGGCGGAUCUCUGGACGGCUAACUGACGCUGAGGCGCGAAGGCCAGGGGAGCAAACGGG
rnacentral:rRNA from 1 species